AUGGAUAAAACAUUCUGAUCUGGGACCAGGCUAUAUCAUGGCAUGACAAUGAUAGGGAGAGGAGGUUGGAUAAAACAUUCUGAUCUGGGACCAGGCUAUAUCAUGGCAUGACAAUGAUAGGGAGAGGAGGUUGGAUAAAACAUUCUGAUCUGGGACCAGGCUAUAUCAUGGCAUGACAAUGAUAGGGAGAGGAGGUUGGAUAAAACAUUCUGAUCUGGGACCAGGCUAUAUCAUGGCAUGACAAUGAUAGGGAGAGGAGGUUGGAUAAAACAUUCUGAUCUGGGACCAGGCUAUAUCAUGGCAUGACAAUGAUAGGGAGAGGAGGUUGGAUAAAACAUUCUGAUCUGGGACCAGGCUAUAUCAUGGCAUGACAAUGAUAGGGAGAGGAGGUUGGAUAAAACAUUCUGAUCUGGGACCAGGCUAUAUCAUGGCAUGACAAUGAUAGGGAGAGGAGGUUGGAUAAAACAUUCUGAUCUGGGACCAGGCUAUAUCAUGGCAUGACAAUGAUAGGGAGAGGAGGUUGGAUAAAACAUUCUGAUCUGGGACCAGGCUUCUCAUCACUUGAACUAUCUAGCUCUCCAGGACUGGAGUAGGAGAGUCCUGCUGGUCUGGUCCCAGACCUGUCUGUAACCCUACUCUACACUGACCUGGUAGUGAUUC